rnacentral:rRNA from 1 species
UACAGAGGUCCCAAGCGUUGUUCGGAUUCACUGGGCGUAAAGGGCGCGUAGGCGGCGUUUUAAGUCGGGGGUGAAAGCCUGUGGCUCAACCACAGAAUGGCCUUCGAUACUGGGACGCUUGAGUAUGGUAGAGGUUGGUGGAACUGCGAGUGUAGAGGUGAAAUUCGUAGAUAUUCGCAAGAACACCGGUGGCGAAGGCGGCCAACUGGACCAUUACUGACGCUGAGGCACGAAAGCUAGGGGAGCAAACAGG